UCCUGCCUCUUCAAUCAUCCAAAGACUGUUUAGUCUGUUAUUUUAAUGUAAUGGUCGGUUCAUGUCCGUUGCAUUGACUUGACUUGUCAUUGGGUCUGAUUUUAAAUGUGCCAUAUAGUUCAAUGUGGGAGCAGGUUCACACACUAAAUAAGACACUAAGGUCAAUUUAUUUAUUUUUCUCAGAGCAGAGUAGAGCAGAUGUUUCAGGUUGCUGCCAUCAGAGAGCAGUGACUUGACCUCAGUGUCUUAUUUAGUGUACUCCCACAUUGAACUCUACUUUUUGGGUCCACGCACCUACUUAUUUCUAAACAUCUAGAGUGCAACAAUACCCCUGCCUCCUAAUGUGCCAUAUAACCUGUAUCUCGCCUAUUGUGUGUGUGUGUGUGUGUGUGUGUGUGUGUGUGUGUUUGUGAAUGUGUUCACGCAGAUAUAAGAAGUUGGGGUUGGGGUUGAUGAUCCACAUGAUGGUGAUGGACCAGGACAGCUCUGGACCUCCUGACUGGCAGCUCCAUCCUCAACCUCCCUUCCUGUCCUUCACACAUGUGCAGGCAGAGAGGCAGUUUUCUGAAGGAUGGUUAAUGUCAGUACCAACAUGUUGUGAUGGAGGCUUCCACCUGAGCUGAACACAGAAACUUGCACACAGUGAUGGAAGCAGUCGUUCCUGUUCAGCAUUGAUAUGCCGGUAAUGGGUUUGAUGAACCACAGCAUGGUGAUGGGCAAUCAGCAUCAGGACCAGGGCCGCUCACAAGGAGAACCUCCUGCCUUGCCUCUUCAUCCUCAACCUCCAAUCUUCCUGCUCUUCACACAUGUGCAGGCACAGAGCCAGUUUUCAGAGGGAGGGCUGAUGACACCAGCAACUUCGGUUCUGAACCUGAUCAACCCAGCACCAACCACUGUGCCGCUCCUCCUCUGCCAACUGCACCACAUGGCUCCACCAUCUCAAAAAGGCACAGACACUACUCCACUUCCUGCGAAGGAUGAGAGAAGAGCCGACCUCCCCACAACGGCACUCACCACCUUCUACAGGGGUGUCAUUGAGAGCAUCCUGACCAGCAGCCUCUCUGUCUGGCAUGGCAGCCGUCAAGCUGAAGACUAGAAGGUAGUACAGAGAGUGGUGAGGACAGCAGAAAAGCUCAUAAGAUCACCCCUACCUGUUCUCCCUACUACCAUCAGGGAAGCGCUAGCCCAGCAUGCGGUGCUGCAAAAGCACACUGGGAAACGGCUUCUUUCCACAAGCCAUCAGACUCCUCAACGCACUGAAGAAAACCACAUGAAUAACCAAGGACACGGGAGAAUAUUCCAUGAACACUUCUUUCACCAUGCCACUUACACUUUACUCAUUGCACCUUGUAUACAGCAUC